rnacentral:misc_RNA from 1 species
AUAUAGGGUGUUUCUACUUCUAUUUAUGCACAUCUGUCCACGCAGAGUCACAGACCCAAACAUGUGUGUGUGUGUGUUAUAAAUGAUUGCAAAUAUUUGUAGAUGUGAUUCAAUCUGAUGAAAAUUUCCUUGCUAGAUGGUUUGAUCACAUGCAAAUAUUGAAACAAUAAUCUUUGCAGUCUUUAUAAAUUAUUUUUUUUUUAAUCAUUUGUUAGGAAUUCAAUGGCCUAAUAGAUAAAUUCACAUAAAUUCACACAUGAACUUUUAAGGUUUAGUUGCUUUACACUUUUUUUUAGGGGUCUCAUCACAUGCUUCUACUUGAUCUUAUGGUAUCAUCACACACCUAAAUUUAUAUGUUUAUAACUUUUAAUCACUUUUUGGGGAUUUUUAACUUUGUUUUUUUAAACUCAUUUAGUUCAAAGCAAUAAAAAGGGAAGAGAGAAAAAUAUAAAGAUAGGGAAAUAGUGAAAUAAUGAAUAAAUAAAUUGUGCAAUAAGUGCUUGAAUGUUAUGAAAGAAAUUAUAAGUUUAGGUGCCUAAUAGGACCAAAAAUAAAGUGGAGGUGUGGGAUGGGAACAAAAAAAUUAUAGGGUGCAAAGCAACCAAAUUGAUAGAGUUCAGGUGAAUUUUUAUGUAUUAAGCUGGAAUUCAAUCAUGGUUGUUGCAACUAACUCGAUGGAUCAUUUUAAUCAAUAUGUUUGUUUAGGGGCAUUUAAAUAUUCUGAUGUUUUGUGAUUCAUAAAAUUGGGGAGCAUCUGAGUUGGGGCCUGUGAGAAAAUAGAACAGAGGAAGAAUAUUGAGAAUGAUUGAA